AUUGACAGGGACCCGCACAAGCGGUGGAUGAUGUGGAUUAAUUCGAUGCUACGCGAAAAACCUUACCUACCCUUGACAUGUCACUAACGAAGUAGAGAUACAUUAGGUGCCCGUAAGGGAAAGUGAACACAGGUGCUGCAUGGCUGUCGUCAGCUCGUGUCGUGAGAUGUUGGGUUAAGUCCCGCAACGAGCGCAACCCUUGUCUUUAGUUGCUACGCAAGAGCACUGUAAAGAGACUGCCGGUGACAAACCGGAGGAAGGUGGGGAUGACGUCAAGUCCUCAUGGCCCUUAUGGGUAGGGCUUCACACGUCAUACAAUGGUGCAUACAGAGGGUUGCCAACCCGCGAGGGGGAGCUAAUCUCAGAAAAUGCAUCGUAGUCCGGAUCGUAGUCUGCAACUGGACUACGUGAAGCUGGAAUCGCUAGUAAUCGCGGAUCAGAAUGUCGCGGUGAAUACGUUCCCGGGUCUUGUACACACCGCCCGUCAUACCAUGGGAGUGGGUUUUGCCAGAAGCCGUUAGCCUAACCGCAAGGAGGGCGACUGCCACGGCAGGGUUCAUGACUGGGGUAAAGUCGUAACAAGGUAACCGU
rnacentral:rRNA from 1 species